CCUACGGGGGGCAGCAGUGGGGAAUAUUGGACAAUGGGGGGAACCCUGAUCCAGCCAUGCCGCGUGUGUGAAGAAGGCCCUCGGGUUGUAAAGCACUUUCAGUGAGGAAGAACGCCUGGUGGUUAAUACCCAUCAGGAAAGACAUCACUCACAGAAGAAGCACCGGCUAACUCCGUGCCAGCAGCCGCGGUAAUACGGAGGGUGCGAGCGUUAAUCGGAAUUACUGGGCGUAAAGCGCGCGUAGGUGGCUUGAUAAGCCGGUUGUGAAAGCCCCGGGCUCAACCUGGGAACGGCAUCCGGAACUGUCAAGCUAGAAUGCAGGAGAGGAAGGUAGAAUUCCCGGUGUAGCGGUGAAAUGCGUAGAGAUCGGGAGGAAUACCAGUGGCGAAGGCGGCCUUCUGGACUGACACUGACACUGAGGUGCGAAAGCGUGGGUAGCAAACAGGAUUAGAUACCCGGGUAGUC
rnacentral:rRNA from 1 species